AUUGAACGCUGGCGGCAUGCUUUACACAUGCAAGUCGAACGGUAACAGGCCGCAAGGUGCUGACGAGUGGCGAACGGGUGAGUAAUGCAUCGGAACGUGCCCAGUCGUGGGGGAUAACUACUCGAAAGAGUAGCUAAUACCGCAUACGGUCUAUGGAUGAAAGCGGGGGACCGUAAGGCCUCGCGCGAUUGUAGCGGCCGAUGUCAGAUUAGGUAGUUGGUGGGGUAAAGGCUCACCAAGCCAACGAUCUGUAGCGGGUCUGAGAGGACGACCAGCCACACUGGGACUGAGACACGGCCCAGACUCCUACGGGAGGCAGCAGUGGGGAAUUUUGGACAAUGGGCGCAAGCCUGAUCCAGCAAUGCCGCGUGCAGGAAGAAGGCCUUCGGGUUGUAAACUGCUUUUGUACGGAACGAAACGGCUCUGGUUAAUACCCGGGGCUAAUGACGGUACCGUAAGAAUAAGCACCGGCUAACUACGUG
rnacentral:rRNA from 1 species